rnacentral:lncRNA from 1 species
CCAGUGUUCAGAAGGUUGUCUUGUGUGGGCAGGUUAUUUCCCAGCUGAGCUGAACGUGUGUCUGUGCACUUGUCUUUCCAGGUGACCCAAGACAGCUGGAACAAGUGACCGCAAGACCACACUGUGGGUCCUGAGAGCUGCCUUUCCCAUCUGCUUCAGCCCUACACCAAGUAGUCCUGGAUGUGUCCAGCUCUUUACAGAGAUGUACAAAGCCUCACCUGUAUGGCCCGAAUCCCUGCCCAGCCCAUCUCACUGCUCUGGCCUGCACUAGACUUGAGACUUUCUACAUCGCAGCUGGAAAGAGGCAUCAAAGCUGUGGUGCCGGUGGAUUAUGACUGCAGGGGAGCUGUGUUGCAUCUGCAAAUCUCUGUUGUGCAUCAAGACCACAUCUGA